GUCGCAUUAGUAUAGUGGUUAGUACUCCACGUUGUGGUCUGACGCUUCAAUGAGUCAUCAGCUCCGUGGUAACGCAGGCUCGAAUCCUGCAUGCGACA
rfam:Fibulorhizoctonia sp. CBS 109695 unplaced genomic scaffold FIBSPscaffold_1, whole genome shotgun sequence.